rnacentral:rRNA from 1 species
UGACCUCAAAUCAGGUAGGACUACCCGCUGAACUUAAGCAUAUCAAUAAGCGGAGGAAAAGAAACUAACAAGGAUUCCCCUAGUAACUGCGAGUGAAGCGGGAAAAGCUCAAAUUUAAAAUCUGUCAGUCUUUGGCUGUCCGAGUUGUAAUCUAGAGAAGUGUUAUCCGCGCUGGACCGUGUACAAGUCUCCUGGAAUGGAGCGUCAUAGAGGGUGAGAAUCCCGUCUUUGACACGGACUGCCAGGGCUUUGUGAUGCGCUCUCAAAGAGUCGAGUUGUUUGGGAAUGCAGCUCAAAAUGGGUGGUAAAUUCCAUCUAAAGCUAAAUAUUGGCGAGAGACCGAUAGCGAACAAGUACCGUGAGGGAAAGAUGAAAAGAACUUUGGAAAGAGAGUUAAACAGUACGUGAAAUUGCUGAAAGGGAAACGCUUGAAGUCAGUCGCGUUGGCCAGGGAUCAACCUUGCUUUUGCUUGGUGUACUUUCUGGUUGACGGGUCAGCAUCAAUUUUGACUGUUGGAAAAAAAUUAAGGGAAUGUGGCAUCUUUGGAUGUGUUAUAGCCCUUGGUUGCAUACAAUGGUUGGGAUUGAGGAACUCAGCACGCCGCAAGGCCGGGUUU